UGUUUGCGGCGGAUGGACGGUCAAGAUUCAUCC
rnacentral:sRNA from 1 species